AUGCUGGAGGCAUGUAGGAGGCCGCAGGUGACAGCAGGCCGGGUGACGCAGAAGGCUGGAGGGAAAAGGACAGCGUUAUGUCAACACUCUCACCUGGUCGAUCUGCUGCGUUGGUCUCUUCCUUCCACGCUGCGUGUUGCCUCCUCCUCCCUCACUGUACGGCAGUACGUCUCCAAUCUGGCUGAACUCCCACACUUUGCGGCGGCCUCUUCCCCUCUGGCAGUUCUUGGCUGGCUUCAGAAGCUCUCUGGUCUUCAGGAACAACUUCCUGCCUACAGCUCCUCCGCCCUGACCCGUCCUGGGCGACCUCACCCCCCACCGCUGCAUGAACAACUUCUGCAGCUUGCCCACCCCCACCACCUGCACAGCCACAGUUUGUGUUAACCCCCCUCUCCCCCUCCCUCCUGUUCUUGCUCGUGGUCUCCUGGCUCUUCUCCCACUCGUCCCAGCUCUUCUGGCACCUCCCACUCCUGCUCCCCGCCUCCUCCUUGCUCGCCCCCUACCGGAGCAAUCCUCCUUGUCCGGGUUCAGAAAGUAGCUGAUGUAUCCUGGGAUGUUGCCUUGAAACUGCUCCAACUGCUCGUGCUCCCAUUCUUCAGCUGCUGCUGCGUCAUCUCUGGCUGCUCCUUGAGGGCCGGCCCACCAGCUCUGGAGGUCAUCAGCACAUGGGCCCGCUUGGCUCAAAAAUGGGAGGGUUGGGGGGACGAAGGUGUGCGGCGGCGCCACAACAGACGUGUGUCCAGCUGCUGUGAUGGAUUCUUGCAUGGAGUCAACGAGAGCAGAUGAAGGUUGAUGUGUUUGGUUUCCAUCUGGUGGAUAGAAGAGGGAUAUGGGGAUGUAGGGAAUUUGAGGGGGGAAAAGAUGGGAUUCGGCCUGUCCUAAAUUCUGGAAGGUUGCCAUAUCAAUGGUCUCUAAGGAGGCUGCUGGGUGAGAUGGGGGACUCAUUUCUUCUUGCAGCUCUUCUGUUUGAGUCUGUGUGUCUUCCAUACCAUCUGAGUGUGUCUCUUUCCACAGAAAGGUGCUCCCAUCCCUCACCUCUCUCCUCCACCUGCCCCGUCUCCCUUCAUCCUCCUCAGGCAUCAGUGGAUCCGUCUGCACUCCUACCUCCGAAUGCCAGCCUUUUCCUUCCUCACUUCUGCUUUUAUGAUCUCUUUUUGUGACCUCCACCAGCCCGUGGAUGCCCAGCUUGGCGGCAGUCAAAAUAGCCUCUUGCUUCUCCUUCUCCCCCUCCCCAGUCAUCUCCCCACAGUACAGCAGUCUGACCAUAUGGAGCAGGGUGCAUGCGCCAAGAGCCCGAAACUCCAAGAGAUGGCUCUGUCCUGCAGGAGGCGGCGGCAUGGAGGACAGAGCAGAGGCGAUGUGGGGGCUGAUGGCUGACAGAAUACAACUGUGUGCGGGCACUGAUACACCUGGAGGACAGGAAAGAUGUCAGUAAUGAUAAUGGCUUCCACAACUACAUGAAAAAAUAUGAGAUUGUCUAUUUGCAAACCUUCUACCUGCUGAUUAAAUGAACACAAACAGCAAAAGAAGACAGUCUAAAGGUGACAGUGUGUUGUGCGUGUAAUGUAGUUGUUGUGAGUGUAUUUAUACCUUCUGUCUUGAGCAGAGUGUCACAGAACUGGCUGCACUGUUGCUGUCUCUGCAGCUCAGCGAGGAGGAGGGCUUCAAACCCCGGUUUUUGGUAGCACCACAUCUCCCCAUCCACCUCUGAGGAGGAGCAAAGGGAGGGUGAAUUAAUAAAAAUUAUGACAGUUUUGGUGCAAUAAUGUCUUUUUACACAAAUGUGACUGCAUUUUAAAGCUAGAAACAAUAAAACGCAGAUGUUUGUGGUAGUUAUCGUACAUGUAGCUAGCAAGGGGACGAUAUAGGAUUCUAUUGCAGAUUGUGGUAAAGAAAAAG
ensembl:lncRNA